rnacentral:rRNA from 1 species
UACAGGGGGGGCAAGCGUUGUUCGGAAUUACUGGGCGUAAAGGGUGCGUAGGCGGCCUUAUAAGUAUGGUGUGAAAUCUCCCGGCUUAACUGGGAGGGUGCGCUAUAGACUGUGGGGCUAGAGUGUGGGAGAGGAAAGUGGAAUUCCUGGUGUAGCGGUGAAAUGCGUAGAUAUCAGGAGGAACACCGGUGGUGUAAACGGCUUUCUGGACCAUAACUGACGCUGAGGCACGAAAGCGUGGGUAGCAAACAGG